rnacentral:rRNA from 1 species
CAUAGGUCAUCUACCCCAAAAUCCGGAAUAACCGGCCGAAAGGCUGGCUAAUACUAGAUAGAGCGACGAAAUUCGUAAUUGAAUUUUUCGGGAAAGGGAGGGAGCAAUCCCCCUCGUUUUGGGAUGAGCCUAUGUCUCAUUAGCUAGUUGGUAGGGUAAUGGCCUACCAAGGCUUUGAUGGGUAGCUGGUCUGAGAGGAUGAUCAGCCACACUGGAACUGAAACACGGUCCAG